rnacentral:lncRNA from 1 species
GUCGCCAUUUUGUUUUUGGUGGUUUUUGUCUGGCUUCUUUACCGCAACCUGUUUUAUCAGCAAAGUCUUUAUAACCUGUAUUUUGUGCUGACCUCCUAUCUCAUCCUGUGACUUAGAAUGCCUUAACAACUGUCUGGAAUGCAGCCCGAUCUGUGGAGUGGCUGCAGCACCUGUGUUUCAGCCUGAAGAAUGGGCACAGCUACUGAGUGAUGAUGUUCUUUCUAUACAUCCCAAGCGUUCUGUACAUCUAUGCAUCCCAAGUGCAUCAAGAUGGACCAGGUUGUCAGCAUGUUCAGAGUAAACAUGAAGAUUUAUGAUGUGCAUCUAAUGCCUGGUUUGGGGUCUGCACCAUGUUGGAGUCCAAGACUCAAGUGGGCUUUCCUGGAUAUUUCAUGAUUCUGAAGAAGAAUUGGAGGUGAGACUUGAGAAAAUGGAGAAAAAGAUAUGCUUUGGAUUUUCUUGAAGACUAGAAGCUUUCUUAACCAUCCACCACCUUGUUGACUGGUUAUUAUUCUCUCUACCUUCUGUGAAACAAACUGAUGGAUACUAAUGGCACAAUUACACUUAUAGCUAGUCAGUUGCAUAGUUUAUGCACAUAGUUCUGCUUCCAGUGUUUAGUAAUGAGUUAAACAUUUUGGCUAUAUUUGUCUCUGAAGCUAUAAUUUCAAUUAAUCAUUAUGUAUAGCAAUAAUAACAAGUAAAACAAAAAGAAGAAUUUUUUGUUUCUAUGGUAAUUAUGUUGGGUGCUUUGGAUCCUCCCAAUAAAGUUGACUUCCUAAAAUAAUUACACUUGAAUUAGGUAUAGAGAAGCUAAUUGUAACAAAUUGAAAGUUACUGUAAAUCUUCUAAUCGUAGUUCUCUGCAAGUGUACUUAAGUUAUUGCUCCACUUGAAAUAAAUGAAAACUGGAAAUCUGAGGUGAUGAAUUAUGGGUCCCUUUUAUGUAAGAAAGAUGACAAGGAAAUCUAAUCUGCUGAGUUAUACUAAAAUAAAAUACCUUGGCCUGGGAUCAAAUAUAGGUGAAAGAAUUAACAUUUAUGUUUUUUAAUUAAGAUAAAAUGUACAAGUUUUAUGUACAUAUUUUAUGAUUUCCUGAUAUAACAAAAAGUGUUGAUAAAAGCACCCAAUACUGAUUCUAAUGACAUUUGAUUAGCAUUAAAGAGUUGC